CCUACGGGAGGCUGCAGUGGGGAAUAUUGGUCAAUGGACGCAAGUCUGACCCAGCAACGCCGCGUGAAGGAAGAAUGCUCUCUGGUUUUUAACUUCUUUUUAUGGGGAAGCGCAUAGCACUGUACCUCUUGAUUAAGCCACUGCUUACUACGUGCCAGCAGCCUCGGUAAGAAGUAGGUGGCAAGCGUUUUCCGGAUUUACUGGGUUUAUAGGGCGUUCUGCCGGGACGACAAUUCAUAUGUGAAAUCCGCGGUCUUAAACCGCGAACUGCAUUUGAAACUAUUGGUCUUGAGUACCGGAGAGGUCAUCGGAAUUCGUUGUGUAGCGGUGAAAUGCGUAGAUAUAAGGAAGAACACCAGUGGCGAAGGCAGAUGACUGGACGGCAACUGACGGUGAGGCGCGAAAGCGUGGGGAGCAAACAGGAUUAGAUACCCGAGUAGUC
rnacentral:rRNA from 1 species